rnacentral:rRNA from 1 species
ACCAGACUCCUACGGGAGGCAGCAGUGGGGAAUAUUGUACAAUGGGGGGAACCCUGAUGCAGCGACGCCGCGUGAGUGAAGAAGUAUUUCGGUAUGUAAAGCUCUAUCAGCAGGGAAGAUAAUGACGGUACCUGACUAAGAAGCCCCGGCUAACUACGUGCCAGCAGCCGCGGUAAUACGUAGGGGGCAAGCGUUAUCCGGAUUUACUGGGUGUAAAGGGUGCGCAGGUGGCAGGGCAAGUCAGAUGUGAAAGCCCGGGGCCCAACCCCGGUACUGCAUUUGAAACUGUCCGGCUGGAGUGCAGGAGAGGUAAGCGGAAUUCCUAGUGUAGCGGUGAAAUGCGUAGAUAUUAGGAGGAACACCAGUGGCGAAGGCGGCUUACUGGACUGUAACUGACACUGAGGCACGAAAGCGUGGGGAGCAAACAGGAUUAGAUACCCGCGUAGU